UACGUAGGGGGCUAGCGUUGUCCGGAAUCAUUGGGCGUAAAGCGCGUGUAGGCGGUCCGGUAAGUCCGCUGUGAAAGUCGGGGGCUCAACCCUCGGAUGCCGGUGGAUACUGUCGGGCUUGAGUACGGAAGAGGCGAGUGGAAUUCCUGGUGUAGCGGUGAAAUGCGCAGAUAUCAGGAAGAACACCCGUGGCGAAGGCGGCUCUCUGGGACGGUACUGACGCUGAGACGCGAAAGCGUGGGGAGCGAACAGGAUUAGAU
rnacentral:rRNA from 1 species